UCUGAUGAAGAGGUGGAAAGACUGAGAUCUCAGUUCAAGGAUGUUGUUAAGGAGGAACUCAAGCCACUGCCGAUGCCCCUCGUGGUUUAACUGCUUGAAGCCAAACUUAGAAGGGUUCUGGCAAAUAAAAGAAAAUAUUGUCGCCAUGCGCUGCAGAAAUUAUCUCCUCCAUGGGUUGAAGAGAAGGCGGCUUUGCACGAGGGAGCUAGCUGCAACGUUAAAUUAUUAGAUGAUGAAAGUGCAAACUUGUUGUUUUAUCGCAGUGGAGAACUUUUUUGGUGUUUUAUCAUUUGUGCCACUGACCGUGUGCAUAUCUCUCUAAUAAUCACAGUCGUCGGUUGUGUGCUUCUCGUCCUGCUAUAUUUUUGUGCCGAGAAACAGCUUUCUAGCUUGCAUCUGCUCUGAAAAUUUAACAAACUAGCAACAGUGCUGUUCUGAGCAGGAGCUCGGAUGAUCUCUAUAAUAACAAGGCGUAUAGAGCGAUACAUGUCCCAUUUUCUUGUCC